AACGGGCGCUAUACCGCAUAAUGACUCCGGUCCAAAGAUUAUCGCCCAGGGAUCGGCCCGCGUUAGAUUAGAUAGUUGGUGGGGUAACGGCCUACCAAGUCGACGAUCUAUAGGGGGUCUGAGAGGAUGAUCCCCCACACUGGUACUGAGACACGGACCAGACUCCUACGGGAGGCAGCAGUUAGGAAUAUUGCACAAUGGGCGAAAGCCUGAUGCAGCCAUGCCGCGUGAGUGAAGAAGGCCUUAGGGUUGUAAAGCUCUUUCAGAUGUGAGGAUAAUGACCGUAGCAUCAUAAGAAGCCCCGGCUAAAUUCGUGCCAGCAGCCGCGGUAAUACGAAUGGGGCGAGCGUUGUUCGGAAUCACUGGGCGUAAAGCGUGCGUAGGCGGAAUUGAAAGUCAGAAGUGAAAGCCCAGGGCUUAACCCUGGAACUGCUUUUGAAACUUCAAUUCUAGAGUUCUGGAGAGGUAAGGGGAAUUCCGAGUGUAGAGGUGAAAUUCGCAGAUAUUCGGAGGAACACCAGUGGCGUAGGCGCCUUACUGGACAGAUACUGACGCUGAGGUACGAAAGCGUGGGGAGCAAACAGGAUUAGAUACCCUGGUAGUCCACGCCGUAAACGAUGUGUGCUAGUUGUUGGGGCCAUAGGUCUCAGUGACGCAGCUAACGCCAUUAAGCACACCGCCUGGGGAAUACGGUCGCAAGAUUAAGACUCAAAGGAAUUGACGUGGACCCGCACAAGCGGUGGAGCAUGUUGUUUAAUUCGAAGCAACGCGAAGAACCUUACCACCCCUGGACAUCCCGAUCGCGGUUACCAGAGAUGGUUUCCUUCAGCUCGGCUGGAUCGUUGACAGGUGCUGCACGGCUGUCGUCAGCUCGUGUCGUGAGAUGU
rnacentral:rRNA from 1 species